GAUAAAGUAUUGAACCCGUUCUGGAUUGUUUCUUAUAACAACCCCUCUACAACAUUGGAGCCUGAUUAAGUUUGCUGAAGAGAACAUCAGUCGGAGUCAACCAGCUUAUGGUAGAAAUUCGUCUUCAGCGAAGGGAUCAAUCAACUUAAAAAGUGAAUUGUGUGUGCGUGUGCGAACUUUUUAAUCUACAAAGAUAGCUAUCUGUGAAGAUGUUUGGGUGCUCUUCUUUAAUUUUCUUUGUUUGAUCCUGUUUUUGUGUAUUGUAAACUGUUGUCUGGUGUUCCUGUUGUCUCUUUAUGGUUGAACUCAUGACUCGGAAAGGUGGAAGUCUGUCUGCUGUUUAAAGGACCCAGGUUGGGGGAUGCAGCAUGGUAGACACAGAUGGAAGAGGAUGCAGGCAAGGCAGUAUGGUGAUCUGUUUGGCUUAAAAAAGGAG